rnacentral:rRNA from 1 species
UUUUAAUGAGAGUUUGAUCCUGGCUCAGGAUGAACGCUGGCGGCGUGCCUAAUACAUGCAAGUAGAACGCUGAAGGAAGGAGCUUGCUCUUUCCGGAUGAGUUGCGAACGGGUGAGUAACGCGUAGGUAACCUGCCUCUUAGCGGGGGAUAACUAUUGGAAACGAUAGCUAAUACCGCAUAA